GGAGAGGUGUCCGAGUGGUUUAAGGAGCCGCUCUCGAAAAGCGGUGGGCGAUAAGCCUCGUGGGUUCGAAUCCCACCCUCUCCGCCA
rnacentral:tRNA from 2 species